rnacentral:rRNA from 1 species
CAAUAGCGUAUAUUAAAGUUGUUGCAGUUAAAAAGCUCGUAGUUGGAUUUCUGGUGAGAUGGAUUAUGUCUAGGUCGAAAGAUCUUGUUCAUGGUUCGUUUUGCCCUUCUUGUCAGGAACCCGCUGAGAUUCGCGUCUUGUCGGUGGAAUGGCAUCGUUUACUGUGAAAAAAUUAGAGUGUUCAAAGCAGGCAUCGCCGUUGAAUACAUUAGCAUGGAAUAAUAAGAUAAGACUUUGGUGGUCUAUUUUGUUGGUUUGCACGCCAAAGUAAUGAUUAAUAGGGAUAGUUGGGGGUAUUCGUAUUCUAUUGCUAGAGGUGAAAUUCUUAAAUUUAUGGGAGACGAACUACUGCGAAAGCAUUUACCAAGGAUGUUUUCAUUAA